UUGAGAGAUUUGUUUUGACAAAACUUAAGCAGCAAUGUUGUAGACAGCUCGCAUCAAAGAUGACGGGGAUGGUUGGUUGCCUUGGAUAAUCAUUUUACGGUUUUUAUGUUAUAUGUGAGGAAAUAAGUGGGAAUCCGAGAAAAUACUAUUUUUGCUUUCAUAGGUUACAGAUUUGACAUUGGCGAAGGAAAUUCAAACCAAGUUUGACAGGUACCAAAAAUAUAAUCCACAUGCAAAUCCGGGGAUUCAUUUGAACGUUACUGUUUUGACUGCUGACUUCUGGCCAAGUUACAAGUCUUUCGACCUCAACCUUCCAGUAGAGAUGGCUAAGUACGUUGAAGUCUUCAGGGAAUUCUAUCAGACAGAAACAGAACAUAGAAAACUUACAUGGAUAUACUACUUAGGUACUUGUAAAAUGAGUGGCAAAUUGAACAAAAAAUGAUGGAGUUGAUUGUCACGACUUAUCGGGUGAUAUAUUACAUAGUUCUUAGCAUAGAUUGUUUCAUCCCCCACAUUUAGUUGUUGAGUGGAGGUUUGGGUGAAGAUUGAGUUAUUCAGAGAUCAUGAACCAGUUAAACUUAAGUGAUGACGAUAUUGUUAGACUGCUCCAUUCGUUGUCGUGUGCAAAUAUAAGAUCCUAAACAAGGAGCCUAACACAAAAACAAUCUCUCCUACUGAUCACUUUGAGUUCAACUCGAAGUUUACUGAUAAAAGGACGAGAAUCAAGAUCCCUCUGCCAUGUGCGGAUGAAAAGAAGAAAGUAAUUGAAAAUGUAGACAAGGAAAGACAAUAUGCCAUUGAUGCCUCAAUUGUGCGCAUCAUGAAGAGCCAUAAAGUUUUGGGUCAUCAGCAGUUGGUUAUGGAGUGAGUCGAGCAGUUGGGUCACAUA